rnacentral:lncRNA from 1 species
UAACUCGAUUCUUUUUUCAAAUAACUAGAAUUGAAUCCCGCGUUGCAGGUCGUUUUUUUUUUUUAAAUUGAUUUGAGUAGGGAUGAGGAUUUGGUACCUGGUGGUGAAGGGGGUGCUCACCUAAUAGGUGAGUUCCCUCUCUUACGCCAAACCAAUCCCCGUGUGCCACGUCAACUCCCCUCUUAAACCCCCCUAACACCCCCAUUUGAUGGCGCCACUCCCCUAUUAGGUGAAUUGGUUUUUUUUUAAAAAAAAAAAAAAAAGAAAGAAAAGCUGUGAUUGGUCCCCUCUCUCCUCUCUCCUCUCUCUCUCCUCCCUCUCUCCUCCCCCCUCUUCGGCAGCCCACCACCGCUUUAGUCCCUCUCUCCCUUAACCGAUUUCGUUGGCGGCACCUUCACCUAUGCGGCAAGGGGGUUACCGAAAUCCAUUCGGUGGGCACCCCGCCCACCCUUAUAAACGAUACUUCUUUAUCAAUGUCUGGAAUCAAAUAAGAAUGUAACACAACUAUAACAGACAAAUCUAAAACAAUAAGUUUGCACUAACAUUAAUAGUUCAUAUUAACAUUAAUAUUAUUUUAAGUGAAGGCUUUAGCCCCAAACUUGAAUUACUUGUACUAUAGGUCCGACCUAGGAUACCAGUACCGAUUUUUUCGUACCCAUUGUAUUUCGGUACCAAACAUUUUCGGUACCGGUCAUGACUACUUAGAUUAAGUAAAAACAUACAUAAAAAUAACCAUUAAAACGUAUUAUAUCUGACCUGACUCAUUUUUUAAAAAGAAGUUACGUUGAAACGUAAACAAACUUGAAUUUAUACGGACAUAAUAUAAAAAUAAGCAAUUUAAGAAUAUAGUGUUUUCUUAGGUUAAACAAUGAUAUUAUGUAUUACUGCGAUGUCGAAACUUAAAGUAACUUGAAUUUUUAGUGUUAAAGAAAGCAAAUUAUAUUUUACCUAACUCGUUUCCAAACAAAAUUUACUUCUUCUAAACGUAGACCAAUUGAAAACCUAAAUAAGAUAUUAUUAGACCAACUGAAUUAACCUAAUUAAAAAACUAAGUGUUAAAACCUAUUAUAUUUGAUCAACU